rnacentral:rRNA from 1 species
GACGAACGCUGGCGGCGUGCUUAACACAUGCAAGUCGAGCGGUAAGGCCCUUUCGGGGGUACACGAGCGGUGAACGGGUGAGUAACACGUGGGUGACCUGCCCUCAGCUCUGGGAUAAGCCUGGGAAACCGGGUCUAAUACCGGAUAUGACUCCAUGACGCAUGUUGUGGGGUGGAAAGCCUUGUGCGGCUGAGGAUGGGCCCGCGGCCUAUCAGCUUGUUGGUGGGGUGAUGGCCUACCAAGGCGACGACGGGUAGCCGGCCUGAGAGGGCGACCGGCCACACUGGGACUGAGACACGGCCCAGACUCCUACGGGAGGCAGCAGUGGGGAAUCUUGCGCAAUGGGCGAAAGCCUGACGCAGCGACGCCGCGUGA